AGAACCCCUCACACCACCAGAAGAUUAUCAAGGUCCUCCAGGGCUGUGCAGACUGCCUUCCCCAGGAGAUCACUGAGGUAUUCUUUCCUGUCCUGCUUUCUUCCUGUUGUCUUCUGGGCCUUAGACCUUUUCCUUGUCUCUUUCCCCAACCUACUCCAUACCUUUUUGCCUCUGGAGUGUCAUGGGCUUCCUGGAGGAGAUGAACAAGGCAAGGACUUUUUAGGCUUACCCAAAGCAUAAAGCACUGGGGUAGGGAGGGAUUGCUACCUGAAACCAGAGCCUGUCUGAUCUUCACAGGCUCAGGAAUGCCAUGGAUGUCCUGGAAGGGAUGCUCAAGGAAGGAGGUUCUGGGGCCUGGGAGGGGCCUUACCUCCUUGCUCUGCUUGGGACAGUGUCCUAGCUGGAGACCCAUAGGGCAGAGUGGAGAGUAGGAUUGUUAGGAGUCAAAUCUAGUAUUAGUACCCUUCCCCUGUAGGCAGCUAAGGAGGAAGAGAAAGUUUAGUAUCCUUUGUUACCAGGCAGAGUCUCUGUGUGUUUCCCAGUUGACUAGGAAAGCAGAACAUGGAGGUAGAUGGGAUUGGUUGGGAAGGGUAGCCUAGAGAGGCUCUGGAGACUUCCUCUUUCUCUCUGUGAUUCUCCUCAGCUCAAGACACAGAUGUGGCAGCUCCUCAAGGGCCAUGACCACCUACAGGAUGAGUUUUCUAUCUUCUUCGACCACUUGCGCCCAGCAGCUAGCAGGAUGGGUGACUUUGAAGAGAUCAAUUGGACUGAGGAGAAGGAGUAUGAGUUUGAUGGCUUUGAAGAAGUGGCCCUGCCUGAUGUGGAAGAAGAGGAGGAGCCUCCCAAGAUACCCACAGCCUCAAAGAACAAGAGAAAAAAAGAGAUUGGGGUCCAAAAUCAUGAUAAGGAAACUGAGUGGCCAGAUGGGGCCAAGGACUGUGCCUGCUCCUGCCACGAAGGAGGUCCAGAUUCCAAGUUGAAGAAGAGCAAAAGGCGGAGCUGUAGCCACUGUAGCAGCAAGGUCUGUGACAGCAAAUCCUACAAGAGCAAGGAGCCCCAUGAGUUGGUGGGCAGCAGCCCCCACCGAGAGGCUAGUCCUAUGCCUGGAACUAAGGAAGCUGGGCAGGGCAAGGAUGUGACGGAAGAGGAAGCCCCAGAGGAGCGGGAGAGCACUGAGGCUACCCAGAGCAGGACUGUUAGGACCACCAGAAAGGGAGAGAUGCCUGUUUCAGGAUUGCCAGUGGGGGCCACUUUGCCGUCCCCUCGAGAAGUGACUCUUACAGAACGGCUCCUCCUGGAUGGCCCACCACCUCAUUCACCAGAGACUCCUCAAUUUCCCCCCAAAACUGGAGCUGUACUGUACACUGUUAAGAGAAACCAGGUUGGGCCUGAGGUUCUCUCCUGCCCCAAGGCAUCCCCCAGACUUCAGAAAGAGAGGGAGGGCCAAAAGGCAGUGGGUGAGUCAGAGGCUUUGAUGCUGGUCUGGGAUGCAUCAGAAACUGAGAAAUUGCCUGGUACCGUGGAACCCCGUGCUUCCUUCCUGAGUCCUGUUUCCUCAAAGACCAGAGAUGCAGGGAGAAGACAUGUGUCCGGGAAACCAGAUACUCAAGAGAGAUGGCUGCCCUCAAGCAGAGGUAGGGUGAAGACAAGAGACAGGACAUCCCCUGUCCAUGAAUCUCCAUCAGGAAUUGACACGUCAGAGACUUCUCCCAAAGCCCCUAGAGGGGGUUUGUCUAAAGACAGUGGAACACAGGGCAAGGGUCCAGAGGGGGAGCAGCAGCCAAAGGCCACAGAAGCUACAGUGUGUGCCAACAACAGCAAGGUCAGCUCCACUGGGGAAAAGGUUGUCCUGUGGUCAAGGGAAGCUGACCGUGUGAUCCUCACCAUGUGCCAGGAGCAAGGGGCACAGCCACAGACCUUCAGCAUCAUCUCCCAGCAGCUGGGAAAUAAGACCCCUGCUGAGGUCUCCCACCGUUUUCGAGAACUCAUGCGGCUCUUCCACACUGCCUGUGAAGCCAGCUCUGAGGAUGAGGAUGAUGCUACCAGUACCAGCAACGCAGACCAGCUGUCUGACCGUGGGGACCUUCUGUCUGAAGAGGAGCUGGAUGAAUGA
ensembl:lincRNA